rnacentral:rRNA from 1 species
UACGUAGGUGGCAAGCGUUGUCCGGAAUUAUUGGGCGUAAAGCGCGCGCAGGCGGUCCUUAAGUCUGAUGUGAAAGCCCACGGCUCAACCGUGGAGGGUCAUUGGAAACUGGGGACUCGAGUACAGAAGAGGAAAGCGGAAUUCCACGUGUAGCGGUGAAAUGCGUAGAGAUGUGGAGGAACACAGUGGCGAAGGCGGCUCACUGGCCCGGACUGACGCUGAGGUGCGAAGCGUGGGGAGCAAACAGG